GAUGAACGCUGGCGGCGUGCCUAAUACAUGCAAGUCGAGCGAACAGACGAGGAGCUUGCUCCUCUGACGUUAGCGGCGGACGGGUGAGUAACACGUGGAUAACCUACCUAUAAGACUGGUAUAACUUCGGGAAACCGGAGCUAAUACCGGAUAAUAUAUUGAACCGCAUGGUUCAAUAGUGAAAGACGGUUUUGCUGUCACUUAUAGAUGGAUCCGCGCCGCAUUAGCUAGUUGGUAAGGUAACGGCUUACCAAGGCAACGAUGCGUAGCCGACCGGAGAGGGGGGUCGGCCACACGGGAACGGAGACACGGUCCAGAGGCCUACGGGAGGCAGCAGAAGGGAAUCGUCCGCAAUGGGCGAAAGCUUGACGGAGCAACGGCGCGUGAGUGAUGAAGGUCUUCGGAUCGUAAAACUCUGUUAUUAGGGAAGAACAAAUGUGUAAGUAACUAUGCACGUCUUGACGGUACCUAAUAAGAAAGCCACGGCUAACUACGUG
rnacentral:rRNA from 1 species